AUUGAACGCUGGCGGCAGGCCUAACACAUGCAAGUCGAACGAGUGGCGGACGGGUGAGUAAUGUCUGGGAAACUGCCUGAUGGAGGGGGAUAACUACUGGAAACGGUAGCUAAUACCGCAUACCAUCGGAUGUGCCCAGAUGGGAUUAGCUAGUAGGGGGGGUAAAGGCUCACCUAGGCGACGAUCCCUAGCUGGUCUGGGAGGAUGACCAGCCACACGGGACAUGAGACAUGGGCCAGACGCCUACGGGAGGCAGCAGUGGUGAAUAUGGCACAAUGGGCGCAAGCCUGAUGCAGCCAGGCCGCGGGUAUGAAGAAGGCCUUCGGGUUGUAAAGUACUUUCAGCGGGGAGGCGUUACCCGCAGAAGAAGCACCGGCUAACUCCGUGCCAGCCGCCGCGGUAAUUC
rnacentral:rRNA from 1 species